UUUCUCUCAGCCAUAAUAGGUCCAUUAAUUCUCUAUCCCAUUUAAGCCCAAACCACACACAGACCCAAAUCACCAAAACACCCCACACACACUUUCUCACUCUCCCAAUCAGCCUCUCUCUCUCCCUCUCAAUCUCACACCAUCUUUCACACUCCUUCAAUUGAUCUCCCUCUCUCACUCUCACAAUCUCACAAUUUUCUCUCAAUUGCCACACAAAAAUCCCCAAUUUUCUCACCCAACUCUCAUUCAAAUCAAAAUCUCACAAAACCCAUCUCAAUUAUCCAACGUUGGCUGCAAAAGAACACUCAAGGAACCACCAUUGCCAAACAUCAAGAGAAAGGAAGCAAGAAUGCUAGCCAAGGAGUGGCGACCCAACAAGGGAUAAGAAAAGGAAGAAAAGAAAAGAAAAAAAAAAGAAAAAAGAAAAGAAAAGAAAGGAAAGAGAAGGAAAAGAAAAGACAAGGAUGGGAAAGAAAGGAGAAAGCACAACGAAAAGGUAGCUCCAAUAUAACCAUGGGAAUGUUGACGUUACCCACUACCACAACUAUUACUCCAGGUAUGACACAAAUCUUUUUUUUUUUCUACGGACCAAUGAGGAAGCUUGCCUAAAGUGACUUUGUAGCUUACCUGAGCUCCAGAUGCUAACAAGCCAAAGAGAUGGUUUACCAGGAGAUAACAACUUAGCCGAUAGAAGAGAGAGAGCAAUCAAAGUAAUAAGAUUGUCUCCGUGCCUCUUUUCACUUUUACCUUUCUUUGAUGGAGUUGUGCCUUCUAUAUUGUUCUUGAGUUCAUUUUGAUGCACUUGUAACCUUCUUUUUAACUCAAAAUCUUGCUUGAUUUGUUGAUGAUUUGGACAAUUGUUUUUUUGACUUUUGAGACAUGAUGAGACUUGAUGAUUAGGCUAA